rnacentral:rRNA from 1 species
UACGUAGGGUGCAAGCGUUGUCCGGAAUUAUUGGGCGUAAAGAGCUCGUAGGCGGUUUGUCGCGUCGGCUGUGAAAUCUCGGGGCUUUACUCCGAGCCUGCAGUCGAUACGGGCAGACUUGAGUUCGGUAGGGGAGACUGGAAUUCCUGGUGUAGCGGUGAAAUGCGCAGAUAUCAGGAGGAACACCGGUGGCGAAGGCGGGACUCUGGGCCGAUACUGACGCUGAGGAGCGAAAGCGUGGGGAGCAAACAGG